rfam:Ailuropoda melanoleuca scaffold317_68, whole genome shotgun sequence.
GGCUGGUCUGAGUGCAGUGGUGUUUACAAUGAACUGAUCACAGCCAGUUACAGAUUUCUUUGUUCCUUCUCCACUCCCACUGCUUUGCUUGACUAGACUUAA